rnacentral:tRNA from 1 species
CGUUCCAUUGUGUAGCGGUUAGCAUGUCUGCUUUACAUGCAGAAGGUCCUGGGUUUGUGCCCCAGUGGAGCCA